rnacentral:rRNA from 1 species
GAUGAACGCUGGCGGCGUGCCUAACACAUGCAAGUCGAACGGAACUUCUUCGACAGAAUUCUUCGGAAGGAAGUUGAUUAAGUUUAGUGGCGGACGGGUGAGUAACGCGUGAGUAACCUGCCUUUGAGAGGGGAAUAACUUCCCGAAAGGGAUGCUAAUACCGCAUGAUGCAUAGAAGUCGCAUGGCUUUUAUGCCAAAGAUUUAUCGCUCAAAGAUGGACUCGCGUCCGAUUAGCCAGUUGGCGGGGUAACGGCCCACCAAAGCGACGAUCGGUAGCCGGACUGAGAGGUUGAACGGCCACAUUGGGACUGAGACACGGCCCAGACUCCUACGGGAGGCAGCAGUGGGGGAUAUUGCGCAAUGGGGGAAACCCUGACGCAGCAACGCCGCGUGAAGGAUGAAGGUUUUCGGAUUGUAAACUUCUUUUAUUUAGGACGAAGAAUGACGGUACUAAAUGAAUAAGCUCCGGCUAACUACGUG